UGAGACACGGACCAGACUCCUACGGGAGGCAGCAGUGAGGAAUAUUGGACAAUGGUCGGAAGACUGAUCCAGCCAUGCCGCGUGCAGGAUGACGGCCUUAUGGGUUGUAAACUGCUUUUAUACAGGAAGAAUAAGGUCUACGAGUAGAUUGAUGACGGUACUGUAUGAAUAAGCAUCGGCUAACUCCGUGCCAGCAGCGGCGGUAAUACGGAGGAUGCGAGCGUUAUCCGGAAUCAUUGGGUUUAAAGGGUCCGUAGGCGGGCUUAUAAGUCAGAGGUGAAAGCACUGAGCUCAACUGAGUAACUGCCUUUGAAACUGUAGGUCUUGAAUGUUUGUGAAGUAGCUGGAAUGUGUAGUGUAGCGGUGAAAUGCAUAGAUAUUACACAGAACACCGAUUGCGAAGGCAUGUUACUAACAUAUUAUUGACGCUGAUGGACGAAAGCGUGGGGAGCGAACAGGAUUAGAUACCCUGGUAGUCCACGCUGUAAACGAUGGAUACUAGCUGUUUGGAAGUAAUUUUGAGUGGCUAAGCGAAAGUGAUAAGUAUCCCACCUGGGGAGUACGCACGCAAGUGUGAAACUCAAAGGAAUUGACGGGGGCCCGCACAAGCGGUGGAGCAUGUGGUUUAAUACGAUGCUACGCGAGGAACCUUACCAAGGUUUAAAUGGGAAACGACGUAUCUAGAGAUAGAUAUUUCUUCGGACGUUUUUCAAGGUGCUGCAUGGUUGUCGUCAGCUCGUGCCGUGAGGUGUCAGGUUAAGUCCUAUAACGAGCGCAACCCCUGCUGUUAGUUGCUAGCGAGUCAAGUCGAGCACUCUAACGGGACUGCCGGUGCAAACCGUGAGGAAGGUGGGGAUGACGUCAAAUCAUCACGGCCCUUACAUCUUGGGCUACACACGUGCUACAAUGGCCGGUACAGCGAGCAGCCACUGCGUGAGCAGGAGCGAAUCUAUAAAGCCGGUCACAGUUCGGAUCGGAGUCUGCAACUCGACUCCGUGAA
rnacentral:rRNA from 1 species